GCCAGGAUGGCUGAGGCGCUCAAAGGCGCUGAGUUCAGGUCGCAGUUCACUUCUGUGUGCGUGGGUUCGAAUCCCACUUCUGACA